AAUUCGGAUUAAUACUCCAUAAUAAAUUGAGUGGCAUCACUUGAUUUUGAAAGUUCCGACGGUGAUGGAUGAACAUGCGACUGAUUAGUUAGUUGGUGAGGUAACGGCUCACCAAGACCACGAUCAGUAGGGGUACUGAGAGGUUAAACCCCCACACUGGUACUGAGACACGGACCAGACUCCUACGGGAGGCAGCAGUAAGGAAUAUUGGACAAUGGCCGCAAGGCUGAUCCAGCCAUGCCGCGUGCAGGAAGACGGACCUAUGGUUUGUAAACUGCUUUUGAACUAGAGAAAACCCCUUUACGUGUAAAGGGCUGAUAGUAUAGUUAGAAUAAGCAUCGGCUAACUUCGUGCCAGCAGCCGCGGUAAGACGAAGGAUGCAAGCGUUAUCCGGAUUCAUUGGGUUUAAAGGGAGCGUAGGCGGACUUGUAAGUCAGUGGUGAAAUCUUUGGGCUUAACCCAGAAACUGCCAUUGAUACUGCAGGUCUAGAGUACAGUUGCCGUUGGCGGAAUAUGACAUGUAGUGGUGAAAUACUUAGAUAUGUCAUAGAACACCGAUUGCGAAGGCAGCUAACGAAGCUGUAACUGACGCUGAGGCUCGAAAGUGCGGGGAUCAAACAGGAUUAGAUACCCUGGUAGUCCGCACUGUAAACGAUGAUACUCGUUGCUGGGAGGUAACUUUCAGUGACCAAGCGAAAGCGAUAAGUAAUCCACCUGGGGAGUACGCCGGCAACGGUGAAACUCAAAGGAAUUGACGGGGGCCCGCACAAGCGGAGGAGCAUGUGGUUUAAUUCGAUGAUACGCGAGGAACCUUACCAGGGCUUGAAAGUUAGUGA
rnacentral:rRNA from 1 species